CACGUAGGCGGCUUGGCAAGUCGGAUGUGAAAUCCCUCGGCUCAACCAAGGAAGUGCAUCCGAAACUGCCGAGCUUGAGUACUUAAGAGGAUCGCGGAAUUCCCGGUGUAGAGGUGAAAUUCGUAGAUAUCGGGAGGAACACCAGUGGCGAAGGCGGCGAUCUGGGAAGAUACUGACGCUGAGGUGCGAAAGCUAGGGGAGCAAACA
rnacentral:rRNA from 1 species